rnacentral:rRNA from 1 species
UACGUAGGUGGCAAGCGUUGUCCGGAUUUAUUGGGUUUAAAGGGUGCGUAGGCGGCUUUGUAAGUCAGUGGUGAAAUAUGGCAGCUUAACUGUCAGGGUGCCAUUGAUACUGCGAGGCUUGAGUACAGAUGAGGUAGGCGGAAUUGACGGUGUAGCGGUGAAAUGCUUAGAUAUCGUCAAGAACACCGAUAGCGAAGGCAGCUUACUGGGCUGUAACUGACGCUGAGGCACGAAAGCGUGGGGAGCAAACAGG